rnacentral:tRNA from 1 species
GGGGCUAUAGCUCAGCUGGAAGAGCGCUUGAAUGGCAUUCAAGAGGUCAGGGGUUCGAGCCCCCUUAGCUCCA